ACACCGUUGGUGAAGUGGUUAUCAUGCUUGCCUUCCAUUACUUGUGGCAGCAAGCGGCUCGGGUUCGAUUCCCGAACGGUGUA
rfam:Lentinula edodes NBRC 111202 DNA, contig: scaffold208.